AGGAGUCGCAGAGAGAUGUAACCAAUCCCUACCCCAUCUACAGUGCCAUAGAGAAACACUUCUUCAUAAAUGGACCUACUGAAGGGUCAUGGUUUGAGAUGACUCAAGGGGGUCUUCAUGGACACCCCCUGUCUAGGGAGCAGGUUUACGUUUGGGGAAAUGGUUGAGAAGAAAAUAGGAAAUGGACAUGGUCAAACUGCAAGAACUUGGAGAGAUGACCAAUGCCUUGGAUUACUACUACUAUCAGACCUAUCAGAUGCUGUUGACAGUGCUGGAGCUGAUGAAGAGGUCUGGAGAAGAAGACAUUGGCUUGUCCACCAUCACCAACCUCGAGAAAAUACUGAAAGAUGGCGAUGCACGCCAAGGACUAUUCAAAGUUGAUGGCAAAGCCUUUCCACAAAAUAGAUGACAGUGUGACAAAGGACAAAGACCAUCCAAAGGACUGCCACGUGUUUGAGGGGCAACCGAGUGACCCCAACAUCAUAUAAAUGCACCUCUUCAAUAUGCAGAAUUGUAAAGGUAUUCAAUCUCAUUCUAUGCUUUCCUUCUAUUUGUGUAUCCUUGUUUGCAUGAUGUGUCUGAUCCUGAUGUUUCUUAUCCUGUCUCUAGAAUAUUAGUAUUGACAUUAGUGGCAACAUGAGCAACAUGAGUUCUCAUAGGAACCCAUAAAUGCCAGUGGCCCCAAACUCCUCCAUUCUGUCAUACAGCCUAGGCCUACCCCUUAGAUCAACACCUGAUACAGGGGAAAGCUGACUACCAGUUAUAGUGUCCCAACAAUAAUUGUUUUCUCAACUCAAUUACAGUGGGGAGAACAAGUAUUU